rnacentral:rRNA from 2 species
CUGAGGCGUGAUGACGAGGCACUACGGUGCUGAAGCAACAAAUGCCCUGCUUCCAGGAAAAGCCUCUAAGCAUCAGGUAACAUCAAAUCGUACCCCAAACCGACACAGGUGGUCAGGUAGAGAAUACCAAGGCGCUUGAGAGAACUCGGGUGAAGGAACUAGGCAAAAUGGUGCCGUAACUUCGGGAGAAGGCACGCUGACACGUAGGUGAAGUGAUUUACUCAUGGAGCUGAAGUCAGUCGAAGAUACCAGCUGGCUGCAACUGUUUAUUAAAAACACAGCACUGUGCAAACACGAAAGUGGACGUAUACGGUGUGACGCCUGCCCGGUGCCGGAAGGUUAAUUGAUGGGGUCAGCGCAAGCGAAGCUCCUGAUCGAAGCCCCGGUAAACGGCGGCCGUAACUAUAACGGUCCUAAGGUAGCGAAAUUCCUUGUCGGGUAAGUUCCGACCUGCACGAAUGGCGUAAUGAUGGCCAGGCUGUCUCCACCCGAGACUCAGUGAAAUUGAACUCGCUGUGAAGAUGCAGUGUACCCGCGGCAAGACGGAAAGACCCCGUGAACCUUUACUAUAGCUUGACACUGAACAUUGAGCCUUGAUGUGUAGGAUAGGUGGGAGGCUUUGAAGCGUGGACGCCAGUCUGCGUGGAGCCGACCUUGAAAUACCACCCUUUAAUGUUUGAUGUUCUAACGUGGACCCGUAAUCCGGGUUGCGGACAGUGUCUGGUGGGUAGUUUGACUGGGGCGGUCUCCUCCUAAAGAGUAACGGAGGAGCACGAAGGUUGGCUAAUCCUGGUCGGACAUCAGGAGGUUAGUGCAAUGGCAUAAGCCAGCUUGACUGCGAGCGUGACGGCGCGAGCAGGUGCGAAAGCAGGUCAUAGUGAUCCGGUGGUUCUGAAUGGAAGGGCCAUCGCUCAACGGAUAAAAGGUACUCCGGGGAUAACAGGCUGAUACCGCCCAAGAGUUCAUAUCGACGGCGGUGUUUGGCACCUCGAUGUCGGCUCAUCACAUCCUGGGGCUGAAGUAGGUCCCAAGGGUAUGGCUGUUCGCCAUUUAAAGUGGUACGCGAGCUGGGUUUAGAACGUCGUGAGACAGUUCGGUCCCUAUCUGCCGUGGGCGCUGGAGAACUGAGGGGGGCUGCUCCUAGUACGAGAGGACCGGAGUGGACGCAUCACUGGUGUUCGGGUUGUCAUGCCAAUGGCACUGCCCGGUAGCUAAAUGCGGAAGAGAUAAGUGCUGAAAGCAUCUAAGCACGAAACUUGCCCCGAGAUGAGUUCUCCCUGAGACUUAGAGUCUCCUGAAGGAACGUUGAAGACGACGACGUUGAUAGGCCGGGUGUGUAAGCGCAGCGAUGCGUUGAGCUAACCGGUACUAAUGAACCGUGAGGCUUAACCUU